GGAACUGCAGCGUGUCAGACCACAGUUUAUACAUUCCUUUGAUCAGUACAAAUUGUGCUACAAGAUGGUGAAGGAAUACAACCGUGCUUCCAACGUCUACGCCAAUCUGAUAUAAAACAACAGCUUUACAUUCCCCAGAGUCUUGGAAUGAUCAAUGACCUGUUUUGAGAAACAAUCAUGUUCUUGAAUGCAAUGUAAUAUAUGGUCAAAUGCAACAUAUGUUUGGAAUUA